rnacentral:rRNA from 1 species
CAGUAGCCGCGGUAAUACAGAGGGUGCGAGCGUUAAUCGGAUUUACUGGGCGUAAAGCGUGCGUAGGCGGCUUUUUAAGUCGGAUGUGAAAUCCCUGAGCUUAACUUAGGAAUUGCAUUCGAUACUGGGAAGCUAGAGUAUGGGAGAGGAUGGUAGAAUUCCAGGUGUAGCGGUGAAAUGCGUAGAGAUCUGGAGGAAUACCGAUGGCGAAGGCAGCCAUCUGGCCUAAUACUGACGCUGAGGUACGAAAGCAUGGGGAGCAAACAGGAUUAGAUACCCGGGUAGUCCCUGUCUCUUAUAU